GGACUGCGGUAAUUUGACCGUGCAAAGGUAGCAUAAUCAAUAGUCUUUUAAUUGGAGGCUUGGAUGAAAGGUUUGACGGAUGAGGAGCUGUCUCUUUAGUUGUGUUGAACUUAACGUUUGUGUGAAAAGGCAUUAAUGGUUUAGGGGGACGAUAAGACCCUAUAAAACUUAACAUGUGUGGUGUUAGCUUUUGGAGUUGUUCUGUAAUCAUAAGGUGACUGGGUGUGUUUUGCUGGGGCGGCACGAAUAUAAUUUGUAACUGUUUUAGGAAAAAAAUAUUGAUUAAUAGAUUUUGGUCCUUUAUUAGGGAGUUAAGAGUAAGUUACUUUAGGGAUAACAGCGUAAUUUUUCUUGAGAGUUCUUAUCGAAGGAAGUAGUUGUGACCUCGAUGUUGAAUUAAAUUUUCCCUUUGGUG
rnacentral:rRNA from 1 species